AUUGAACGCUGGCGGCAGGCCUAACACAUGCAAGUCGAGCGGAUGAAGGGAGCUUGCUCCUGGAUUCAGCGGCGGACGGGUGAGUAAUGCCUAUGAAUCUGCCUGGUAGUGGGGGAUAACGUCCGGAAACGGGCGCUAAUACCGCAUACGUCCUGAGGGAGAAAGUGGGGGAUCUUCGGACCUCACGCUAUCAGAUGAGCCUAGGUCGGAUUAGCUAGUUGGUGGGGUAAAGGCCUACCAAGGCGACGAUCCGUAACUGGUCUGAGAGGAUGAUCAGUCACACUGGAACUGAGACACGGUCCAGACUCCUACGGGAGGCAGCAGUGGGGAAUAUUGGACAAUGGGCGAAAGCAUGAUCCAGCCAUGCCGCGUGUGUGAAGAAGGUCUUCGGAUUGUAAAGCACUUUAAGUUGGGAGGAAGGGCAGUAAGUUAAUACCUUGCUGUUUUGACGUUACCAACAGAAUAAGCACCGGCUAACUUCGUG
rnacentral:rRNA from 1 species